GCCCGGUUAGUUAAAGGGAUAUAACGAAAUCCUCCUAAGAUUUAAUUGCAGGUUCGAAUCCUACACUGGGUGCCA
rnacentral:tRNA from 1 species